rnacentral:rRNA from 1 species
AUUGCAGUCUGCAACUCGAGUGCAUGAAGCUGGAAUCGCUAGUAAUCGCGGAUCAGAAUGCCGCGGUGAAUACGUUCCCGGGUCUUGUACACACCGCCCGUCACACCAUGGGAGUCGGGAAUGCCCGAAGCCUGUGAGCUAACUUAAAGAGGCAGCAGUCGAAGGUAGAGCCAAUGAUUGGGGUGAAGUCGUAACAAGGUAGC